GGUUUGUGUGUGCAUAAGGUGUAUAUAAGUAGCUUAGGCCUCAUUGAGUGUUUCAUCCCUAAAGCAGUGAGAGUUAAGGGGCUAUUCUACCUAUCACUACUUCUCCCUAAAUAGCCCAACCCAAUGAUCAUGGCCAAAAUCAAGUUUCCUUGCAUCAAUUGUGCUUUCCUUCUUAUACUAGUUUUGAUUCAUCAUGGAAUCAUACCUUCUGAAGGAAGGCAAUUCAUGAAGACAGAGAACGUUGGCAAUAAUGGGAAUGAAAUGAGGAAAGAUCAUAUAGCCACAAACUUUAUUCUCCACUCUGAACCAUUAGCCCACAAUCUUGCAGCUACUAAUUAUUUCAGACCUACAACACCGGGCCCGAGCCCUGGCAUUGGAAAUCCGCCCCAUUAGCCAAAAGCAUAGCUGUGUAAUUUAGGUGUUUAAACUAGAAUAAAGCAUUGCUGCUAUAUGUUAGCUUUAUGUGCUGAGUACUUAUAUCAAUGCCCAUAAAACAUGUAGCUCGAUUGGCUAUCUAGGACAACACCUCAUUGAGUGUGGUGACUAGUUAAAAUCAUAAGGCCACUAUAUAUAUAGUUGGAGCUGCACUAUCGUAAGUUCAACGACUUUUUUGUAUGGUUGAUAUUUUAAGAUGUUUUCAAGUCACCUUUAAUGUUCAAAAAAGGUGAAGUGCUCAUUGUUUGUUUGAAUGUUUUAUUAUUAAGAGAUAACAUUAAUAGGUUCUACUUUUUUUGUUUGAAUGUUUUAUUAUUAAGAGAUAACAUUAAUUGGUUCUACUUUCUUUUUUUUUCUUGUUUCAUGCAUUUAGUCAAGAAACGAAUUCACCGAGAAGAAAAUAUAGUCGUUAAUCAAGCCUCAAGAAUGAUUUCAUUAUCUAUAGUAAUCGGGAAAAAUAAAAUAAAAUAAUAAUAAAAUAAUAAAAUAAUAAAAUAAAAUAAAUUAAUUAAAUUAACAAGUAAAAUGAAUAGUAUGAUAAGGAAAUAUAUAUAUAUAUAUAUAUAUGUAAGUUAUUAUGAUAUAUAUGUAAUAUAUAUAAAGUUGUACAAGCUUCUCCAAGAAGCUUUGCUUCAAUUAAGUAAGUUAUUAUAUUAUUAAAAUAUAUAAUUGUACAAGCCUCUCUAGGAAGGCCCAUUGUUCUCUCUCUCUCUCUCCCUCCUACGACUCUCUCUCUCUCUCUCUCUCUCUCUCUCUCUCUCUCUAUCUCUCUCUCUCUCUCUCUCUCUCUCUCUCUCUCUCUCUCUCUCUUCGAUUUCAGGCCAGUUUUAAGCCGGAUCGACAAACCAAAGCCACCACGACGCUCCUGGUAAAGUUCUCUACAAGUCUGCCGAAGCGGAUCGUCAGGGAAACGAAGUUAGAUUUUAUCCUAAAUCCAAGGGAUGUUGAAUUGGGAACGUUGGGAAUCAUCCCUAAGUUGAGGGUUGUUGAGUUGGGAACCUUGCGGGUGCAGGGAAGAUUUUCUUAGGGUCUUUGCAGGAAUCAGGUAAGGGGAUAAACUAAACUAGUUCUUCUUGAGAAAAUGCAUGUAUAAAUAUAUAUGUAGCAUUUGGUUUUAGGAAAAAUAUAUAUAUUUAUAUAUAUUUAUGAUUUAUAUUUGGAAAAUACAGUUUAAAUGAUGAUAUGUUGAAUACGUGGAAAAUUUGUUCAGUGUGGCAUGAGUAUAAAAAUGUUGUGAAAUACUAUUUUCUGGGAAUGUGGAUGAUAUGAAUUUUUAUGAUAGAAAAUCGGCGUACGGGCCGAGAUUUUUAUAUGAUUUGCCAGUGUACGGGCCGCGCUAUGUGACUGUGAUGUGCCAGCGUACGGGCUGUGCUAUGAUUUGCUGACGUACGGGUCGUGCUAUAUGACUGUGAUUCGCCAACGUACGGGCUGUGCUAUGAUUUCCCGGCGUAUGAGCCGUGGUAUGUGACUGUGAUUUGCCGGCGUACGAGCCGUGCUAUGUGGAUGUGAUUUGCUAGUAUACGGGCUGUGCUAUGUUUGCCGGCGUACGGGCCGAACUAUGAUAAAAUGUGUAAUAUCGGCGUAUGGGCCGAUGAUUUUCAUCAUACAUGUAUACAUGCAAAAUGAUAUGAAUGAUGUGAAAAUAAAUGAUAUGAGAUAUCUAUGUCUCACAAUUUUAGUAUAUGUUAUAUGAUAUCAGAACCUGGUUGGCUUGGUCUAGGCUAGCACUUGCACGGUACCGCUGCUAUAUGUCCAUGGUCUUCGUGAUCAUGAUAUUUGUGUUAACGCCAUUGUAUGGAGUGGUGUGAGAUUAGAUGGUCGAUGGGGUUUAUAAGAAGUGUGCUGAUCGCCCUUGGUGUAUAGACCAGGUCUGGCAGACCCAUAGGACUUACAGACUAUGUUUGACUUGGCAGUGGUCGGCCAACCAUUAUAAGGUCCCGCCUUCGGGCCACUCAACCCAGUCAUGUGGGGGUAAUACAUGACAACAGCCAACUAACCUACCAGGAAUGUUUUUGUGAUAUUAGUAUUGUAUGAGAUGAGAUAUGUUUAUGAAAAUGCAAUAUGUUCUGCCAUGUGUUGAUAUAUAUAUAUAUAUAUAUAUAUAUGUUUUCCAGAUUUGAUGAAAUAGUACUGAAUAUGUUAUGUAUGAGAUAUGUUGAACACAGAAUACUCAUGUUGCCACACACUAGUAUUAGUUUAUUUCCCUUACUGAGAGGUGUCUCACCCCUAAAUCUUAUUAACUUUUCAGGAACCCCAGAUAGGAGAGCGGGAAAAGCCCCACUGAUAUAGUACUCUUUAAUCUGCCCUUUUUGAAGGGUAAGUUUUGUAGGGGCAGUUAGAUUUUUGGGGAAAUGUCCCUAGGUUUUAUUUUUGGGAUGUAUAUACUGAGAUACAAUAGUUAUGGUAACUCUGGUAUUGUGAUGUAUGAUAUGAUGGUAUGUAUAUGAUUGUAUAUUUUCUGCUGUUUAGGCUUCCGUUUUGUGCUCUGAUGUAUCCCUGUUACCCACGGAUCCAGGUGGAUGGUGACCUACUGAGCUGGAAUGUAUGACGUUGAUAUUGUUAUUAUAAAAAAAAAAUAUAGAAAAUGAACAGGUCGUGACAGUUUGGUAUCAGAGCCUAGGUUGCUAGGUUCUGUAGACUUUAGAACGUAGGAGAAACAAUACCAGAGUUUAGGAAAUAAUUUGAGGUUUUGUUCUAUAGUGUGGAAGCAGGACUUCCGUGGUAGUUUCUGUGUUUUUCUUGGGGUGACAAUUUCAGGAAAACCAUAGUAAGCUGUUGUCGGGUUGUGUUCCUAAAAUGUAGGACUAGGGAUUAGAAAUGAGUUAAAAAUGUUGAGAUAAGUGGUGAGGAUAGGUGGGUAAAUUAUGAGGAUAGGAUUACUGAAUUGCAACUGCUAUUUUCCAAGAUGGAUCCAGAAGGAAAUAGUGCCCUUGCGAGUGGCAGUGAUGGAGCAGGAGCAUCAGGUGCAGCUAGGACCAACUCUGACGCGGUAUUACGUAGUGUGGCUCAGCAGGUUAUGGCUGAGAUCGCUAGGAGUUCGAGGGAGCAGAGUGGUCCAUCUGUAGGCCAUGGGUGCACCAUAGAGAAGUUCACGAAGAUAAAUCCUCCAGUGUUCUCAGGUGGAUUUGAUCCUAUAGCCACUGAGAACUAGAUGUAGGAGAUUGAGAAGAUCUUGGUUGUACUGCAGUGUACAGAGGAACAGAGGGUCCUCUUUGCCACCUAUAGAUUGACAGGAGAGGCUGAGAGGUGGUGGACUACGGUGAGACUAUUGGAGCAGCAGAGGGUGACUCCGAUAGCUAUGACAUGGGACCGGUUUAAAGAUCUGUUCUUUGAUAAAUAUUUUCCAGGUACUGUGAAGGAGGCUAAAGUAGAAGAGUUCCUGAGUCUGAAGUAGGGACAGCUAUCCGUCCAGCAGUAUGCAGCGCGUUUCAUCAAGCUCUCUUGUUUCGCCCCAUACAUUGUUCCUGAUGAGGUGAAGAAGGCAAAGCAGUUUGAGAGAGGCUUGAGGCGGAGUAUAUUCAAGCAGGUAGUGGUGCUGCGGAUCCAGGACUUUGUUGAGUUAGUCGACAGGGCAGCCUUGGCAGAGGUUGGUGAGCGACUUGAUGCAGAGGAGCAGGGACAGAGGAAGAGAUCUGCAUCUACCGGCUAUCGACAGGGUCAUAGACCAGACCAGUGAAGAAGAGGAAACCAUAGCAAAGGACGGAGACAGGAGACGGGAGGACGCGAGAUGCAGACAGGGUAGGGUCCUCCAGUCUGUCAUAUUUGUGGUAGGAGGCACUGGGGAGAGUGUCGAGCUGGUGGUGUAGUGUGCCAUCGCUGCGGUAGAUCGAGGCAUAUAGUGCGAGAUUGUCCUACCCCACCGGAUGCAGCUCCGGUGUGCUAUCCCUGUGGUAGAUCGGGGCACAUGGUAUGAGACUGCCCUACCCCACCAGAUGCAGUUCCAACUCCUAGACCACAUCAGGGAGGCUAUUAGGCGCCAUAUGGGGGUUAGUAGAGGAAUACAACACCAGCUAGAGUGUUUACUCUGAUGCCGAUUGAGGCUGAGACGUUAGGUGACGUAGUGACAAGUAUGGUCAUUAUGCUUUCUUUUAAAGUUAUUGCAUUAUUUGAUUCAGGAGCUACACACUCGUUCAUGUCUUUGGGGUGUGUUAAAUUAUGUGGGGUUGAAACAGAAUCAUUAGAUGUUGAACUAUUGGUAUCUACACCGACUGGGUCGAUAGUAAGAUGUAGUAGGGUACUUCGAGAUUGUCAAGUUGGUAUUCAAGGGAAGGCUUUGUCUGCCGAUUUGAUAGUGCUAGACAUGCACGGGUUUGAUGUUAUAUUUAUCAUGGAUUGGCUAGCAGCUAAUUUUUCCAACAUAGAUUGCCGCGCACGAGAAGUGAUAUUCAGAUCUCCGGGGGAAGUAGAAUUUAAGUUCGUAGGGUCACAAGUACAAUCCCCGCCUCAGCUAGUUUCAGCUAUUCAGGCCAGGAGACUAUUACUGAGUGGGUGUUAGGGGUUUGUGGCUGUGGUGAAAGAGAUGUCAGAAAAUGAAUUGAAACUUGCUAGCAUGCCUAUAGUAAAGGAGUUUACAGAUGUUUUCCAAGAUGAGUUACCAGGCUUGCCACCCGAUCGAGAGGUAGAUUUUUCCAUAGAUCUACUUCCAGGUACAUCACCUAUUUCCAAAGUACCUUAUCGAAUGGUGCCAGUAGAGUUGGCAAAAUUAAAAAAUCAAUUGGAAGAUCUGCUUGAUAAGGGCUUCAAACGACCCAGUGUAUCUCCGUGGAGAGCUCCGGUGUUAUUUGUGAAGAAGAAAUAUAGGACUAUGAGGAUGUGUAUAGACUACAGGGAAAUUAAUAAAGUAACAAUCAAGAACAAGUAUCCUCUACCCCGUAUUGACGAUUUGUUUGACCAGCUUUAGGGUAUACAGGUGUUUUCGAAGAUUGACCUCAGAUCCGGAUACCAUCAGGUGAAAGUGAAAGCAGAAGACGUCUCGAAGACGGCCUUCAGGACCCGGUACGGGCAUUAUGAGUUUCUCGUUAUGCCGUUUGGAUUGACGAAUGCUCCUACGGUAUUUAUGAACUUGAUGAAUAGAGUCUUUCAUCGAUACCUAGACCAAUCUCUUGUUGUUUUUAUUGAUGAUGUACUGGUCUAUUCGAGGAGCUAUGAGGAGCAUGAGCACCUGAGGUAGGUUUUGCAGACACUUCGGGAAAAGAAGUUGUACGCCAAGUUUAGUAAAUGUGAAUUUUGGCUUGAGAAGGUUGUGUUCUUGGGGCAUGUUAUAUUUGGAGACAGUAUUUCUGUGGAUCCUAGCAAGAUUAAGGCAGUAGUGAAUUGGGCUAGACCGAGAAAUGUCCAGGAGAUCAGGAGUUUCUUGGGGCUAGCUAGAUAUUACCGUCGUUUCGUUGAGGGAUUCUCAGCUUUGUCAGGACCCUUGACACGACUAAUGAGGAAGAAUGUCAAAUUUGAGUGGGACGACUGCUGUGAGCAGAAUUUUCAAGAGCUGAAGCAGAGGUUAGUCACAGCACCAGUUUUGGUUAUCCCAUCUGAGGGUGAGGGGUAUGUCAUUUAUUGUGAUGCAUCCUUGAAAGGACUUGGCUGUGUAUUGAUGCAGCAUGGCAAGGUACUUACGUAUGCAUCCAAGCAGUUGAAAGAAUAUGAGAAGAACUACCCUACACAGGAUCUUGAAUUGGUUGCAGUAGUACACGCAUUGAAAAUUUGGAGGCAUUACCUGUAUGGCGAGCAGUGUAAGAUUUUCUCUGACCACAAGAGCUUAAAGUAUUUCUUCACGCAAAAGGAACUGAAUAUGAGGCAGAGAAGGUGGCUAGAGUUGAUUAAGGAUUUUGAUUGUACCAUCAGUUAUCACCCGGGGAAAGCGAAAGUGGUAGCUGAUGCAUUGAGCAAGAAAUCCAAGGAGUCAGUGUUGGCGGCUAUGGGGAUUCAGCAUCCGAUCAUAAUGGAUCUGGAGAGAUUUGGCAUAGAAUUAGUAAAGAGUGAUCUCCGAGUAUGUAUUGCCAGCCUAGUGGUACAGCCUACUCUGCAAUAAAGAAUUAAAGUCGCUCAAAAGGAAGAUCCAGUAUUAGCAGAGGUGAUAUGCAGAGUACAGAUGGGUCAGGGGGAGGAUUUCAGUAUUGCAGAUGAUAGAGUUUUGCAGUUCCAUUCCUGAUUAUGCGUUCCUACCGAUACUGAGAUCAGAAAGACUAUUUUUAGAAGAAGCUCAUAGAUCUUUGUAUACUGUUCAUCCUGGUAGUACGAAGAUGUAUAAAGACUUGCGAGAAACAUUCUGGUGGAGUGGCAUGAAGAGAGAAAUCACCGAGUAUGUAGCCCAGUGUUUGACGUGCCAGCAGGUAAAGGCUAAGCACCAGAGGCCGGCAGGGUAGUUGCAGCCGUUAUUCAUCCCAGAGUGGAAGUGGGAUCAUAUAUCGAUGGAUUUUGUGUCAGGACUGCCGAUGGCAUUACAUGGCCAGAAUGCCAUCUGAGUGAUUGUUGACCGUUUGACUAAAACCGCCCACUUUAUACCUAUCAAGAUCAACUACUCCCUUAACCGUUUAGCGGAGAUUUACAUUCAGGAGAUAGUACGUUCUCAUGGGGUGCUAGUAUCGAUUGUGUCGGAUAGAGACCCGCGAUUUACAUCACGAUUUUGGAGGAGUUUGCAGGAGGCUUUGGGGUCUCAGUUAUCAUUUAGUACGGCAUUCCAUCCUUAGCCAGACAGGCAAACUGGGAGAACGAUAUAGAUAUUAGAGGACAUGCUCCGAGCAUGUGUAUUAGACUUUGGGGGUAGUUGGACUCAGUUCAUGUCGCUAGUAGAGUUUGCGUAUAAUAACAGUUAUCAGUCCAUCAUUGGCAUGGCACCAUUUGAGGCUCUAUACGGUAGGAGAUGUCGAUCUCCUUUGUUUUGGGAUGAAGUGGGUGAGUGACGAGUUGUGGGGCCAGAGUUGGUUCAGCAGGCGCGUGAUAAGGUUCGGCUUAUUAGAGACAGGAUCAGUGCAGCUUAGAGCUGACAGAAGAGUUAUGCCGACCAUCACCGCAGGAAUUUAGAAUUCAAUGUGGGUAAUCAUGUGUUUCUAAAGAUAGCUCCGAUGAAAGGGGUUAUGCGAUUUGGGAAGAAAGGUAAACUUAGUCCUAAGUUUAUCGAUCCAUUUGAGAUUCUAGAUAAAGUGGGGCCGGUAGCCUAUAGGCUAGCUUUACCACCUGUGUUAUCCAGGAUCCACGACGUAUUCCAUGUUGCUAUGUUGAGGAAAUACGUCCCAGAUCCUUCUCAUAUCAUCAGUUAUGAUGAAUUGGAGCUUAGUGAUUCACUAGGGUACGAGGAGGUACCAGUACAGAUUCUGGAUAGGAAAGUACAGGAGCUACGUAAUAAGAAAAUUUCUCGGGUAAAGGUUUUAUGGAGGAAUCAUGUGAUAGAAGAGGCUUCUUGGGAAUCCGAGGAGCAAAUGGGACAGAGAUAUCCGCAUCUAUUCUAAGAAAGUUGAUGGGAUAAAAUGCAAGUAGUUAGGUAGUUUCUUUUACAGGUACAUGUAAUGGUUUAAUUAGUGUAGUAUUUUAGUUUUGGGAGAAUGGUUUUCUUUUGUAUAUGUAAUCUUCCAAGACUCAAAAUCUCGAAAUGUAACCACAGUAUUCCUCCGCCAUGAGUGAGGGUAGGUAAUAAAAUGAGUAAACCCUUUCCCCUGGUUAAAGGAUGGCGAGUUACGGGAACAGUAAAUUUCGAGGACGAAAUUCUUUUAAGGGGGGAGGAAUGUAGUAAUCGGGAAAAAUAAAAUUUAAAAAAAAUAAAAUAAUAAUAAAAUAAUAAAAUAAAAUAAAAUAAUUAAAUUAACAAGUAAAAUGAAUAGUAUGAUAAGGAAAAUAUAUAUAUUUAUAUAUAUAUUGAAACAUAUAUAUAUAUAUAUGUGUGUAUAUAUAUACAUAUAUAUAUAUAUAUAUAUAUAAAGUUGUACAAGCUUCUCCAAGAAGUUUUGCUUCAAUUAGUAAGUUAUUAUAAUAUUAAUAUAUAUAAUUGUACAAGACUCUCUAGGAAACCCCAUUGUUCUCUCUCUCUCUCUCUCUCUCUCUCUCUCUCUCUCUCUCUCUCUCUCUCUCUCUCUCUCUCUCUCUCUUCGAUUUCAGACCAGUUAUAAGCCGGAUCAACAAACCGAAGCCACCACGACGCUCAUGGCAAAGUUCUCUACAAGUCUGCCGAAGCGGAUCGUCAGGGAAACGAAGUUGGAUUUUAUCCCAAAUCCAAGGGAUGUUGAAUUGGGAACGUUGGGAAUCAUCCCUAAGUUGAGGGUUGUUGAGUUGGGAACCCUGCGGGUGCAGGGAAGAUUUUCUUGGGGACUUUGCAGGAAUCAGCGUACGGGUUGUGCUAUGAUUUGUCGACGUACGGGCCGUGCUAUAUGACUAUGAUUUGCCAGCGUACGGGUUGUGCUAUGAUUUGCCGGCGUACGGGCCGUGCUAUGUGACUGUGAUUUUCCGGCGUACAGGCCGUGCUAUGUGGAUGUGAUUUUCCAGCGUACGGGUUGUGCUAUGUUUGCCGGCAUACGAGCCAAGCUAUGAUAAAAUGUGUAAUACCGACGUACGGGCUGAUGAUUUUCAUGAUACAUGUAUAUAUGUAAAAUGAUAUGAUUGAUGUGAGAAUAAAUGAUAUGAGAUAUCUAUGUA